rnacentral:rRNA from 1 species
UACGGGGGGAGCAAGCGUUGUUCGGAUUUACUGGGCGUAAAGGGCGCGUAGGCGGCCACCGCAAGUCGACUGUGAAAUCUCUGGGCUUAACCCAGAAAGGUCAGCCGAUACUGCGGGGCUAGAGUGCAGAAGGGGCAACUGGAAUUCUCGGUGUAGCGGUGAAAUGCGUAGAUAUCGAGAGGAACACCUGCGGCGAAGGCGGGUUGCUGGGCUGACACUGACGCCGAAGCGCGAAAGCUAGGGGAGCGAACGGG